CGGUCGGCUGGCGUCCCUCUUCAGUUCUCUGGAGCCCCAGAUUCAACCCGUGUACGUGCCUGUGCCUAAAGUAAGUCACUGGGCUUUCUUCCCGAAUAGCUCGUUAGAACCACUUACAUACAAAGCAAUCUUCUUACCUACCGCGUGAAGCGUGAUUUCUAAAGGGGGCAGACAGGAUUCAUUUUAAGUAACCUUUCAUGACUCUUACAUACCAGUGAGAGAGAAGAGAUUCUCAUUUAGAAAGACUGAAUUAUGGCUUAGGGUCAGAAUUCUAGAAGUAUGGGGUCUCAAAUAUAACUUCAAACUUUUAAAAAGCAAACCAUCAAAAAAACGAAACGGAAUGAGGAGGAAGAAAGUACAUCCCAGAUUGAAAGACCACUUUCGCAAGAACCUGCCAAAAAAGUGAAAGCGAAGAAGAAACACACUAACGCAGAAAAAAAGUUGGCAGACAGGGAAAGCGCUCUAGCGAGUGCUGAU
rnacentral:lncRNA from 1 species